GUGGCAGGGAAGUUGGAGAUUCAUGAUCCUUGAGGUCCCUUCCAACCCAAGCCACUCUGUGAUUCUGUGAUCCGUUCCUCCUCAUGGAUUUCAGAAAGUGCUAUAAGUAUUGGGUCAAAGACCCCUUGGUGCCUGUGGUCAACUUCCCUUGGCAAAGCUGCCUUCACCUAAAUUAUGGUGUAGUAUCCCAUUCAUCUUACCAUUGGUUUGUGUCCAAGACCCAGUAAUGGUGAUGCAAGAGCUGCUCUCCAAAGCCAUUUCUUCUCACUUGACCCAAAGCAUGUCCUGGUUGAGGAACCAGGCGACUCCCAUCAGUGUCAAGAAGGGGAUUAGGCACACACAUGGGGCUUGCUGGAGAACUGCCCCAGAGAAAAGGAUGCCAACAUGAUGGGACCUUGAGCACCCCACCUAACGGGAAACAUUCCCCACUCUCCUCUCAAGCUGUGAAUUUAACAGUACAGGCCCUCAGUGUCAGCAUCUACAAGCUGUCUCGGAGAUCUUUCCAUGCCUACUCCAAACAGCGAUGUUACCAACUUCAGUAACACUCUGUGCCAAUUUCCAAAUAUAGAUCACACGACAGUGGGGACAGAUGUGUCCUGAAAUUCCCAUUCUCACACUUCCCUCUCUCCAGCCAGCACUGCAAGACAUGAGAACACAGCCUUGCUGUCUGCCCUUUGGUGUCACUUCAUCCAGGACUUUACUGUCACCUCGCUGCCUCACUCACACUGUGGGAAGGAGAGGACCUAGAGAUCCCCUUUGGCCAACAUGAGGAGAGCUUUCAGCUGGCAAGCAGGGAGUACAGGCACUGAACCACACAGGAGUUCAGCACUAAGCCUCACCAGCAAGCAGAGGAAGGGUUGAAAAGUGCACCUUAAUCUGCAGAAGAAAGGAAACACCUGAACCAUUCACCAGCAGGGACUCUGGUGAGGACUGGACUCACAACUGCACUUUUGAGCAAGCAGAGAUAGGAAAGGAACAACGGGAGGCCAAAGGAUUCAGGUCAGUUCAAAGUUUUGCGCACCUGUUGCUGUAGGUCACAGCUGCUGAGAAUAGGGCAAACCACAGGGAAAAGAAGAUCGUAAAAUGUAAGAUGCAGUUAAAAAAAUGUUUUGGAAUGUUUUACUAUUCCUAAUUCAGUACUUCUAAAAGCCAGCGUGUUCUUUUCUCCCCAUGAAGUCCCCACGUGGUUCCAGAGCUCAGCUGGGAUACUUGUACUGAGCUCUUGUGGGAUAAGUGCACAGGGAAGUGCAGACAAACUUUGGUACAUCUUUAGCUUUAGUGGGAAUGCUUUUAGAGCCUAUGUUCAGCUUUACGACCUUCCAGGACUACCAGACUACCUUCCAGGACGACUCCCAGUUCAGUGUCACCCCUGCUCCACGUAGGCCUGCUUUCUGCACUUCCUUAAGCCAUUCGUAGCAAGCAGGUCAGACAAUGAGAAAUGGAAACAGCCUGACAGCUAAUGUGAUUUGUGUAAUGGGAUGAAACAGCCUCCAGUAUCCAUCCUCAGGGAUCACAGGAGGAAGGUUGCCCUUUAUCCCCCUCUGUUUGAGUUUCAGCAACAAAAAUUUUGGAUGAAGCUUUGUCAGCAAAUGUGCCUCGGCACCCAUUCCCACUUCGAAGUAUUUGCCAAGAAAAUGUUCCCUGCUCUCCUGAAAGGUCAACAUCAGGGAUGGAUAACAAGAUGCCUCUACACCCAGGAGGAACCUGGCCAUCUUUUCCAAAUUUGCAGAAACCAGUUUCGGGGUCCCUGCACUUUCUUCAGGUCCGGAUCACAGCCACGCAAAGAGAACACUAGAUAUCAUGCUCACAGUGGACCACUGCAUCCCACGCUGCUACUGCUAGCACAGGUGUACCCGGAAAGCACUGAUCUGCGUCCCCAGAUGUGUUAUGCCGACAGCUUUUGACUACACACAUUGCUACAUGCUAGAUCUGUAUUUAAAGCUCAAGUGGGAAGCAAGCUCACAGGGUUUUACCCUGAAUGCCCAUCGUAUUGGCCAGAGGUUAGCAGACCAACUAAGGGUUACAAUUGGUAAUGCCUGAAUUUCAGUAGUGUUGCUACCCACAGCUUGCAGGUUUCUUAGAAAGUUUAUGUUAGUAAGCAGAGACAUAUAAUUUACUACUGUCUAUAGCUUAACAUUUGAUAAUAAAAUAUAAAUUAAAGAGAAA